AGUGAACGCUGGCGGUAGGCCUAACACAUGCAAGUCGAACGGCAGCACAGUAAGAGCUUGCUCUUACGGGUGGCGAGUGGCGGUCGGGUGAGGAAUACAUCGGAAUCUACUUUUUCGUGGGGGAUAACGUAGGGAAACUUACGCUAAUACCGCAUACGACCUACGGGUGAAAGCAAGGGAUCUUCGGACCUUGCGCGAUUGAAUGAGCCGAUGUCGGAUUAGCUAGUUGGCGGGGUAAAGGCCCACCAAGGCGACGAUCCGUAGCUGGUCUGAGAGGAUGAUCAGCCACACUGGAACUGAGACACGGUCCAGACUCCUACGGGAGGCAGCAGUGGGGAAUAUUGGACAAUGGGCGCAAGCCUGAUCCAGCCAUACCGCGUGGGUGAAGAAGGCCUUCGGGUUGUAAAGCCCUUUUGUUGGGAAAGAAAAGCAGCAGGUUAAUACCCCGCUGUUCUGACGGUACCCAAAGAAUAAGCACCGGCUAACUUCGUG
rnacentral:rRNA from 1 species